AAAGUGAAGAAAUUCAACCAACCGCAGGUAAAUGGAAGGAGUAAAUAUGACUCUCUUAAGCUAUCCAAAUGCCUCAUCAUCUAAUUAGUGAUGCACAUGAAUGGAUUAAUGAGAUUCCCAAUAUCCAUAUCUACCAUCUAGCCAAAUCAUAGCCAAGGGAACGGGCUUGGCAGAAUCAGCGGGGAAAGAAGACCUUGUUGAGCUUGACUCUAGUUCAACUUUGUGAAAUGACUUGAGAGGUGUAGAAUAAGUUGGAUCUGUUUUCGAUGCAAGUGAAAUACCACUACUUUUAAUGUUAUUUUACAUAUUUAGUGGGGUGGAGACGGGGCAUUGCCCCUGGUUUUGGCCUGAAGACACGUUUUGGUGGAUCAAUCUGGGCGGAAGACAUUGUUAGGUGGGGAGUUUGGAUGGGGCGGCACAUCUGCUAAAAUAUAAUGUAGGUGUCCUAAGAUGAGAUCAACAAGAACAAAAAUAUCAUGUGGAACAAAAGGGUAAAAUCUCAUUUGAUUUUGAUUUUCAGUAUGAAUACAAACCGUGAAAGCAUGGCCUAUUAUGAAAAUGAAGUUGUUUUGGCCUUAGAUGGUGGUGCAUGUUUUCUCAAUGCGUAGCUUCACUUUUAAUGCUACUUAAAUUAAUGC
rnacentral:ncRNA from 1 species